rnacentral:tRNA from 1 species
UAAUUGAAGUAAUUUAUACAUUCAAUUUCGGCUUGAAAAUAAGGUUAGUACCCAAUU